rnacentral:lncRNA from 1 species
UCAUAGGAAUGAGACUAGAGCUAUCUCCUCAUUCAUUGAGGAAAUGAACUCUAACAGCUGCAACCACACGUCCUGAGAGUUCAAAUUCACAAACAACAGUGUCUCCUAUUUUGAGGUUGUACUGUUGACAUACAUCCGCCCAGCCAAGGAAACUAGGUAAACCGUUGUAAUACUUAGUUAAGCCAUCCACUUUAUUUCCAUCGGGAAGAAUGAAGUACAUGGAGGAAUCAUGGGGACCAAACUCCAAGCCAUACUGCCUAAUCACCGGAAGGCCGACAUGCUACUUGCACAAAUAUGAAAGAUAUAUAGAAAAAGACGAGUCUUAGUUUCAGUUGCAAGUGCAACGAAUAAACUGUAACUUUGAUGACUAGAAACUAAAAAUGCUACAAGUAUUACCAGCAAAUGAUUUGUUUUCUUCAGCGUCUUCGCAAAAUAAGGGUUUUGGGGAUUUAAGAGGUAUCGCUCAGGGUUUUGCAAAUUAGCACAACUCUUUCUCCCUCGAGUAGUUGUUCUUCCACUUGCUGAAAAUUUAGCAGCCAAUACCGAAAACAAAAAUAGUCAGUCCAUAGAAGUCUUAGAGAUAAAGUAUAAUAGUUUUGAGUUUAAAGAACAUGAAGAUGGUUUCUUUUCAAUUUGAAUGGUAUUACCAGAGGCAGAGGUUGUCUCCUUUUGGGGUUCAAGUCCAAGAGGUGCAGAGAUGAUCUCUUUUCCAUCUUUCUUGAAGAUUUGCACUUGAAAAUACAUAGUGUCUUGGUGUGUGAAGACCAAGGUAUCAUCUGGACCUAAGAAGUUGUCGUCCACAAACUCAUCCCAGUCUUCUUUGAUCAUAAACAGACCUUUCUUGUCUGGGCGGAGCCAGAGUUGCCAAGAAUUGUUCCAUGGAACGCUAAACACCACUCUGUGCUCAAAAGACUCAUGGGUGCUUCUCAAGAACUCUUCCGGAAUAAUCCUCUUUAAGAAACCAAGAAGUCAGAAACAGUUGAGUAAACAAGUAUAACUUGCAUGCAAGCUUGAUUUGUAGCUAGAACAAAAACCAGCAAAAGCAUGAACUAAAAGCUAAUGAUCAUCACAUGCAUUUGUGUAAACGUUGAAGAUAACUAGAUAUAUAAUCUUCUUGGUAACAAAAGCAAGUUCAAUGGAACAGAGAGUGGAGAUCAGAGAUGUACCAUGGAUUUAGAUUUCCAGUUUUGACCUGGAGACAGAGACUUGGAGAAGCUAGACUUGCUCAGACAUUCUUGCAUCUUUCUCUCCUGCAACAUUCUUCUCUUCUUCAAACCCAAGAUCUAUUUUGAAAACUAAGGGUUGUGGUCUUUGUGGAGAGCUGAUCAUCAAUUGCAUGUGGUUAUAAAAAAGCAAAGCCAAAGUAAAUUGUAACAAAAUAAACUUAUUUUCCUUUUUUAGAACGUGAAAAGAUUUUCAGAAAAUAAAUAUUUUGUUUAUUAGUUGCGUUAUUCCUUAUUUUACCUCGCCGAUCGUGCCUUUUUAUAGAGGACGCAAUAACACCCCAAUUUAGAAUCCUUAGAAAUAUUUUAGUAAUAUAUUUUUUUUUUGAAUAGUUAAGGAUUCUAAUCAAGAUGGAGUUUUUAGGAAUAAAAAAGUAAUAUUUUUUUUUUUUAAAAAUUUUAAAUUGAAAUUGAAAUUUUAUUAAUUGCAUGAUUAAAAAUAAAGAUACAAUGAUUAAAUAUAAAAAUACACUAAUUAUUAAACUUCAUCACCAAAUUUGUUCUAAAUAUUUUCGAUUAAAUCAUUUUUCAAUCGUUCAUACAUAUGCCUAUCACGAAGAUCAUUCCGAACGCGAAAGAGAUUAUUCAGAUUUGUAAGCCUCUCGGUUUCCACCUGUGAACUUCUGUUGACGUCUCCUUCUUCAAAUUCAAAUAUAUCGUACCGCAUGUAUCUGCCUCGUUCAUUUUCAACUAUCAUAUUGUGUAGUAUGAUACAUGCUCUCAUAAUCUUUCCUAUCUUUUCUUUGUCCAAUGUAAGAACCGGGUUUCUCACAAUUGCAAAUCGAGCUUACAAUACUCCAAAAGCCCGCUCCACAUCUUUUCGGGUUGCUUCUUGAACUUUAGCAAAUAACUCUUGUUUAGGACAUUGAGGGAGUGUGAUAGAUUGGAUAAAUGUUGACCAUUUUGGAUAUAUACCGUCUGUGAGGUAGUAUGCCAACUUAUACAUGUGUCUGUUGACCACGUACCUUACCCUGGGAGCUCGACCUUCUAAAAUGUCAUCAAACACAGGAGACCGAUCGAGGACAUUGAUAUCAUUUAAGGUACCUGGAGGACAAAAAAAGCAUGUCAUAUCCAAAGAUCGUGUGAAGCUACAGCCUCUAAGACAAUUGUCGGUUUUCUUGAUCCACGUGCGUAUUGUCCUUUCCAAGCGGUCGGGCAAUUUUACCACUCCCAAUGCAUACAGUCAAUGCUCCCGACCAUCCCAGGAAACCCUCGUUUCUCUCCAAUAUCGAGGAGUCGUUAAAGAUCCUCCGGUGUGGGUCGUCGUAGAUACUCAUCUCCGAAUAACUGUAUUAUUCUGUCAGUGAAAUUAUGUAAACACGAAAGUGCAGUGGUCUCACCAAGUCGGAGAUAUUCGUCAACCGUGUCAGCCGCAGAACCAUAAGCAAGCAUACAAAUUGCUGCCGUACAUUUUUGUAGUGGAGAAAGACCAAACCUCCCCGUUGCAUCUCUUCUUUGCUGAAAGAAUGGAAUAUACUCUGAUAGGCCAUGUAUAGAGACGACCUUUGUUAUCGAAUUAUAUAUUUGUUAAUUACUUAUAUACUCAUGUUUCACAAAGAGUGUUUUGACACUUUUUGUUAUAUAAAAAUAGUCAUUCUAGAAUUCAAUGCAACUUAUAUUUAUUUUAAACUUAAUAUUAAUUAAAAAUUGCAUUGAUCUUGUAAAAAAAAUAUUUAUACUAUUGGUUAAAAUAAAAUGCGUAAUUAAUAAGAACAGAAAUAACUUCCAAUUGUUUUUUUUUUAAUUUAUGUGAAAAGUGUUCUUCGUAAAACAUGUUAAUCAAUAAACCUUUAUUAUCAUGGAAACAUUAAAAGAAAUGACAACAUUUUCAUCCAUCAAUUGAAAGACAUGACAAAGGAAGCUACUAUGCUAACUCUUCUGGAACAUAACCGAACAAUGUUGAAACAUGCCAGGGGCGAGUUGGCAAAUACCAACGUGAUACGCCACUAGGAACCAACCGUAACAUGCAGAAGCGAUGACUAAUAUCUCUGUAUCAAUGACAACACAAAACAACUUUCUUCUCCAUGUCAAUGGUAAAAAAACUCAUGGGAUUCGAAAUAAAAUGGACAUGAGGUUUUAAAUCCACUUUUAAGAACAUGCACCACGACACAAAUGUGGGAUCAAUCUCCUCGGUUAUCGAUAUAUUCACCAUCAGUGUCUCGUUACUCUGAUAUAACAACAAAAGAUGUUCUUCUCUAACAACCGAGAGAGCCAUAGUAUCAGAAUUAAAUGGUUCAUCAUGAGAGGUAGGAACACACAGACGUUGCAGUCUUUCUUCUGAAAAAUCAAAACUGAGUAGUGAGUAGUCAAACCCUUUAUGAUUAGAUAAAACCCAAUAAGUAUCUCCCUUUAAAGACACGCCACCAGGUUGUAAGUAGGCUUGUGUUGUGAUGACAUCAACACUCCUCCAUGAGUUAGAGCCAAACUCAUAGAUUUCAAAUCUUAAGUCGCCUUCGAGAUUUACAUCAAGUUUCUUCCAUGAUCCCAGUUUCCCGUGGUUGUAGUAACACGGAAGCCUCAAGAUUUUGUAGUUAUGGCACAGUUCGUUCUUGUCGUAUCCCAUAGCAUAGGCACCAUUGUAAUGCUUCUGCGGUUGGAUCCAUCUUGUUUGCCCCGAGAAAGGGUUCCAAACCACAAGCCUGUUUGACUUGGGGUGGGUGCAUAGCAACAUGCCAUCUCAGUGAAAGGCUUUAGUUACAUCGACUGGUUCAUUAUCAUGGGGAUCAACUAGGGUAAGUCCAUCUACACCAAGUAUUGUCUCUGCGUCAAAGUUAGCUCCAUGAAGAAUAGAACUCAAUGAGCAUGCCUUGUGAUUCAGCAUCAGAGCAUGAUACUGCCUUGUUUUAUCAAAGUGCUUCUUGAUGAAUCUUGGAUCUUUGAAUAAUGCUUGGUGGUACCAUCGUUUGCAUGGAGAUCGUAGUAUGCUCAGAGAUUUCACAGGAACCCUAGACAGUAUCUCUUCUACCAAUUCUUGUGGCAGAGUAGAGAUCAUUGUUGUUUCUAUUGUGAUAAGAUAUUAUGCACAAUUUUUAUAAUCUUUGUACCAAAAAAUGCGGACAAAGUUUUAAGUAAAUUUUGUAAAGCUCGAAAUAGUUUCAUACAUUUUUUGGCUAGUAAGAAUAUUUUCGGAAAGAAUAACUUGAGUUUCAGUAAUUUAUAUUCCGAAUGUUCCCUUUUUAUAAGAAAAUCAAAAUACUAAAAUUUGUUUAUUAACAUUAAUUAAUGAAAUAAAAAUAAGUGUAUUGUACAUUUAUCAUUUAAAUCUUACAUUUUUGAGAUGGUAACAAGUUUGUUUAUUAUUUUUGGUUUUUGCUCUCACAUAAAAGCUUCUUGACUUAUCAUCCCUUUAAUUGUUUCAACAUAAAGCUCAGAAUAUAUUUGGGAAAAGGCUCCUAUUAAGAUCACUACCUAACCAUUCCAAAGUAGUAUAUGUUAUACUACGGAGUUAUGUACCAAUCCGAACCAAAGUAUAUUAGCAGGUUAUACUAGUACUACGUACAUAUUAGCAUUGCAAGUUUGUUAAACCAACAUAAAUACAUUUAGUGCUACAAACUCGUUGAACCAACAUAGAGGUCACAUCUAGAGCAUUAAAAUAAUACAUAGGUUGGUAAAAGAUAUGCUUAGAAACCUAGCUAGUUCAUAGGAAUGAGACUAGAGCUAUCUCCUCAUUCAUUGAGGAAAUGAACUCUAACAGCUGCAACCACACGUCCUGAGAGUUCAAAUUCACAAACAACAGUGUCUCCUAUUUUGAGGUUGUACUGUUGACAUACAUCCGCCCAGCCAAGGAAACUAGGUAAACCGUUGUAAUACUUAGUUAAGCCAUCCACUUUAUUUCCAUCGGGAAGAAUGAAGUACAUGGAGGAAUCAUGGGGACCAAACUCCAAGCCAUACUGCCUAAU